rnacentral:rRNA from 1 species
GACGAACGCUGGCGGCGUGCCUAAUACAUGCAAGUAGGACGCAGUUGCGAACGGGUGAUUAACGCGUAGGUAACUACCUAUUCGAGGGGGAUAACGCUUGGAAACGAUAGCUAAUACCGCAUACUAGUAGAUGGACCUACGUUGUAUUAGCUAGUAGGUAGGGUAAUGGCAUACCUAGGCAACGAUACAUAGCCGAACGGGGAGGGUGAUCGGCCAACAUGGGACGGGGACAAGGCCCAGAAUCCUCAGGGAGGGCGCAGGAGGGAAGCUUCGGGAAUGGGGGGAACCCUGACCGAGCAACGCCGCGUGAGUGAAGAAGGUUUUCGGAACGUAAAGCUCCGUUGUUAAGGAAGCGGUACUUAACCAGAAAGGGACGGCUAACUACGUGCCAGCAGCCGCGGUAAUAC